rnacentral:rRNA from 1 species
AACGCUGGCGGCGUGCCUAACACAUGCAAGUCGAACGGAGUUCUUAAGGAAUGCGACUUCGGUCAAAUGACUUUUGAACUUAGUGGCGGACGGGUGAGUAACGCGUGAGCAACCUGCCUUUCAGAGGGGGAUAACAUUUGGAAACAGAUGCUAAUACCGCAUAAGAUUACAGUACCGCAUGAUACAGUGAUCAAAGGAGCAAUCCGCUGAAAGAUGGGCUCGCGUCCGAUUAGAUAGUUGGUGAGGUAACGGCUCACCAAGUCGACGAUCGGUAGCCGGACUGAGAGGUUGAACGGCCACAUUGGGACUGAGACACGGCCCAGACUCCUACGGGAGGCAGCAGUGGGGAAUAUUGCACAAUGGGCGAAAGCCUGAUGCAGCAACGCCGCGUGAGGGAAGACGGUUUUCGGAUUGUAAACCUCUGUUUUCGGUGACGAACAAAUGACGGUAACCGAGUAGGAAGCCACGGCUAACUACGUGCCAGCAGCCGCGGUAAUACGUAGGUGGCAAGCGUUAUCCGGAAUUACUGGGUGUAAAGGGAGCGCAGGCGGGAUAGCAAGUCAGCUGUGAAAACUAUGGGCUCAACCCAUAAACUGCAGUUGAAACUGUUAUUCUUGAGUGGAGUAGAGGCAAGCGGAAUUCCGAGUGUAGCGGUGAAAUGCGUAGAUAUUCGGAGGAACACCAGUGGCGAAGGCGGCUUGCUGGGCUCUAACUGACGCUGAGGCUCGAAAGUGUGGGGAGCAAACAGGAUUAGAUACCCUGGUAGUCCACACUGUAAACGAUGAUUGCUAGGUGUGGGGGGUCUGACCCCCUCCGU